rnacentral:rRNA from 1 species
GACGAACGCUGGCGGCGUGCUUAACACAUGCUAGUCGAACGGAAAGGCCCUGCUUUUGUGGGGUGCUCGAGUGGCGAACGGGUGAGUAACACGUGAGUAACCUGCCCUUGACUUUGGGAUAACUUCAGGAAACUGGGGCUAAUACCGGAUAGGAGCUCCUGCUGCAUGGUGGGGGUUGGAAAGUUUCGGCGGUUGGGGAUGGACUCGCGGCUUAUCAGCUUGUUGGUGGGGUAGUGGCUUACCAAGGCCUUGACGGGUAGCCGGCCUGAGAGGGUGACCGGCCACAUUGGGACUGAGAUACGGCCCAGACUCCUACGGGAGGCAGCAGUGGGGAAUAUUGCACAAUGGGCGGAAGCCUGAUGCAGCAACGCCGCGUGCGGGAUGACGGCCUUCGGGUUGUAAACCGCUUUCGCCUGAGACGAAGCGUGAGUGACGGUAAUGGGUAAAGAAGCACCGGCUAACUACGUG